rnacentral:rRNA from 1 species
GGCGGAGUCGGUACACACUCUGGACGUAGUAAUUCUAUCUCGCCUGUGAGUUGGACCGGCGCCUCGCCGUAAAACCCCCUACUUCUAAAGGUUGACCUCGGAUCAGGUAGGAAUACCCGCUGAACUUAAGCAUAU